GUGGGGAAUAUUGGACAAUGGGCGAAAGCCUGAUCCAGCCAUGCCGCGUGAGUGAUGAAGGCCUUAGGGUUGUAAAGCUCUUUCAGUAGGGAAGAUAAUGAUGGUACCUACAGAAGAAGCCCCGGCUAACUUCGUGCCAGCAGCCGCGGUAAUACGAAGGGGGCUAGCGUUGUUCGGAUUUACUGGGCGUAAAGCGCACGUAGGCGGAUCGUUAAGUCGGGGGUGAAAUCCUGGAGCUCAACUCCAGAACUGCCUUCGAUACUGGCGAUCUUGAGUCCGGAAGAGGUGAGUGGAACUCCUAGUGUAGAGGUGGAAUUCGUAGAUAUUAGGAAGAACACCAGUGGCGAAGGCGGCUCACUGGUCCGGUACUGACGCUGAGGUGCGAAAGCGUGGGGAGCAAACAGGAUUAGAUACCCCUGUAGUCC
rnacentral:rRNA from 1 species